UACGUAGGGCGCAAGCGUUAUCCGGAAUUAUUGGGCGUAAAGAGCUCGUAGGCGGUUGUCGCGUCUGCCGUGAAAGUCCGGGGCUCAACUCCGGAUCUGCGGUGGGUACGGGCAGACUAGAGUGAUGUAGGGGAGACUGGAAUUCCUGGUGUAGCGGUGAAAUGCGCAGAUAUCAGGAGGAACACCGAUGGCGAAGGCAGGUCUCGUGGGCAUUAACUGACGCUGAGGAGCGGAAAGCAUGGG
rnacentral:rRNA from 1 species